rnacentral:rRNA from 1 species
UAAGUAAGCGGGGGAUAAGAAACUAAAUAGGAUUCCCUCAGUAAUGGCGAAUGAACAGGGAUAAGCUCAGCAUGGAAAUUGGGGCCUGUGGCCUUGAGUUGUAGUCUCGAGAUGUUCCGCCAACGGAGGCGCAGAUGUAAGCCUCUUGGAAAAGAGCAUCACCGAGGGUGAGAAUCCCGUAUGUCAUCUGCAGUCCCUCGUGCAUGGUGUACCUUCUAAGAGUCACGUUCCUCGGAAUUGGAGCGCAAAGUGGGUGGUAAAUUUCAUCUCAGGCUAAAUAUUAGUUCGAGACUGAUAGCAAACAAGUACCAUGAGGGAAAAAUGAAAAGGACUUUGAAAAGAGAGUUAAAAGUGCCUGAAAUUGCUGAAAGGGAAGCGAAUGGAACCAGUUUGCUUGGUGAGAUUGUCGCGUGCUAAUGCGAUUGCCUGCUGUUUCAAGCUUCGCUGUUGCGGUAGGUUCUGAUCAGUACGUGCGCGGUGGUUCUUGCCUUGCGUGUCGUUUUCAGUUCACGAAAAAGGAAAACCCCAGGGACGUGGUAGUCCGCCCCGGUUGUGCGAAUGUGCUUGGUGGAUUUUUUCCGUGUACUGAAUCCUUGAUUAGAUGACUAAAUGGUUCCAUCCGACCCGUCUUGAAACACGGACCAAGGAGUCUAACA